rnacentral:rRNA from 1 species
AUUGAACGCUGGCGGCAUGCUUUACACAUGCAAGUCGAACGGUAACAGGCCGCAAGGUGCUGACGAGUGGCGAACGGGUGAGUAAUGCAUCGGAACGUGCCCAGUCGUGGGGGAUAACUACUCGAAAGAGUAGCUAAUACCGCAUACGAUCUAUGGAUGAAAGCGGGGGACCGUAAGGCCUCGCGCGAUUGGAGCGGCCGAUGUCAGAUUAGGUAGUUGGUGGGGUAAAGGCUCACCAAGCCAACGAUCUGUAGCUGGUCUGAGAGGACGACCAGCCACACUGGGAGUGAGACACGGCCCAGACUCCUACGGGAGGCAGCAGUGGGGAAUUUUGGACAAUGGGCGCAAGCCUGAUCCAGCAAUGCCGCGUGCAGGAAGAAGGCCUUCGGGUUGUAAACUGCUUUUGUACGGAACGAAACGGCUCUGGUUAAUACCCGGGGCUAAUGACGGUACCGUAAGAAUAAGCACCGGCUAACUACGUG